GUAUGGGACGGGUACAUGUAUUUGGAGGUGGAGAUUACAAAAUCAUACCCGCUUUAUAUCCGAGCGGGUUUUUUUCAUAUCAUACCAUAUCCACUAUUAUUGAGAAAAUUUCUGGAUUAUCCCCGCCUCCAAAUGGGCGGGGCGGGUAUCCACUGCCAUAUUAAAGACAUCCUAGGGUUUUUCUUAACAAAACAGACGAGAGAGGAGACUAGGGGAGCGGCGACCGCCGACAUUGAACUUCUUCUUCUCCGAUCCACUGCUCCGAUCAACUAGCCGGCGACCUCUCCUUGCUUAAAACUGGUUCUAUCUGGAUCUGCGUCCACAGCAGAAGGAGAUGGGAUUGGGAUCUGAUUUGGGCAUAGUCCAAUCACCAAUUGCAGCAACAGAGAGUUCAUCUUCUGGUCAGGAGGAGUUUAUUAAAAAAGAGGCUGAAUGGGACCGAGAGAUGAUGAAGGCGACGAAAGAGAUCGAAGAGUUAAAGGCUAAUUUAAUGGCCAAAGAAACUGAAAUCAAGAUUAAAAUGAAAGAGAAGGAAAUUGAAAUAGAAGGAAUAAAAGAGGACAAUCGGUUAAUUGAAAUCAAGAGGAUGGAAGUGAAAAUGAAAGAUGAGGCCCUCGCUCUACGGGAGGAAAAUUCGAAGUCGAAGGCAGAGUUGAGGAGGUUGGAAGUGCUGUUGGACUAGUGGAGGAAGGCGGCAGAGGCGGCAGAGGUUCAAAUGAAAGAUGAGGCCCUCACUUUACGUGGAAAAAAUUUGGAGUUGGAGACAGAGCUGGGUCGGUUGGAAAAGCAGUUGGACCAGUGGAGGAAGGUGGCAGAGGCUGCAGAGGUUCAAAUGAAAGAUGAGGCCCUCACUAUACGGGGAAAAAUUUCGAAGUUGGAGGCAGAGCUGGGUAGGUUGCAAGAGGAGUUGGACCGGUGGAGGACGGCGGCAUUUGAGAAAGAAACUAAGAAGGAAAGCAAGAACUUUUUGAAGAAGUUGUUGCCAAGAAGAUUGUCAUAAAAGCUUGUAAUUUGUGGGUUUGCUCUAUGAGUUGUGGGUUGGCUCUAUCAAGUAAUAUGCUUGCAAGGAAAUGGUCUUUAAGAAUUCGUAUAGGGGAAGUGGGAGAGAAAAUUGAACUAAAAAUUCAUUGUCCUUUUCCCUCUGAUCAUGUUUGCUGAUCAUGUUUGUUUUGAUAUUCACCUCGCUUCGUUUCCAUCUCAA